UCAUUGGAAAGGGGCCGCAGCCAGGCCAAUGAACCCCCGCGCCAGGGGGGUCUCCUCCUCCUCCCCUUCCUCCUCCCCCCUCCUUCUCCUCCUCUUCCUCCUCCCCCCUUUUCUCCUCCUCUUCCUCCUCCCCCCUCCCUCCUCCUCUUCCUCCUCCCCCCUCCCCCUUCUCCUCCUCCUCCCCUUCCUUCUCCCCCUCUUUUCCUCCUCCUCUCCCCCUCCUCCUCUUCUUCCCCUUCUCCUCCCUCCUCCUCUUCUUCCCCCUCCUCUUCCCUCCUCCUCCCCUUCCCCCUCUCCCUCCCCGUCCCUCCUCCUCCUCCUCCUCCUCCUCUUCCCCCUCUUCCCCUUCCUGCGCUCCCGGUCGAUGCAGCUGGCUCUGGGGGGUGGCCGCGGGGAGCGUCUCCGGGGCUGACUGUCCCCUUCUUCCUCCUCCUCCUCCGGGCCGCCCUCCCGGCCUGCCGUCAGGGCCCUGGAAGGGCGCCCCGGGGCCUGCCGCCGCCGGUCGGGGGCGAUGGACGGUUGGGCUGGGGUCCCGGGGCCGGUCCUGGGGUCAGUGCCGGGGUCAGUGCUGGGGUCAGUCCUGCUGCUGCUGCUGCUGCUGCUGCCCGCGGGCCGGGCGGACCCGGAGCCCCUCCUCCAUCCAGGCCUCAGCGGGAGAGGUCUCUGGGAAGCAUCCAUGGCCCCGACCACGUGGGACCGCUCAGAACCCUACGGGACCAUGCUCUUGACCACGCGGGAACACUCGGCACACCUGGAACCCUAUGAAACCAUGAUCCCCUACUUUCUCAACGGCCAGACCUGGGCCCCGAUAAGUCAACUCCAAUCACAGAAUCCCCCAGAGGUGCUCACUAUCCGAAUGCACGUGGAAGGCCGGAAGCUGACCGUCGCUCUGCAGAGAAAUGACACUUACGGAGGGAGAGAGCUGGUGCAGCCGGGGCCAACGGUCCCCCGGAGAGCACGGCCUGAACUAGAGCCCGGCCAGCCAGAGGAAGCACCCUGCAGCAACCUGGCCUGCAUCAGGUACUUCUCUCCUUCCC
rnacentral:lncRNA from 1 species